UUUGCAGCAUUGCAAGAUCCUGAGGGGAAUCCAAGCCCAGGGCUGGCAGGUCCCAGAGAAAGGACAUGAUUGCUUCUUCUAAAUGGACACUGGCAAGGCUGCACACAUACUUACUUGGUUAAGACCAGGAGCAAGGUGUCCCGGACAACCCCAGAGCCUUUGUUGCCUCCAUCACUUCUGCCACGGCUGCUCUCUGGAAUUCUUCAGAUGCCCGUUUGUUGCCACUGCCACCAUUGGCACCCCUGGAGCAGUGGCGACUGCUGCCUUCACCUCUGCUGACACCUUCCUUUCUUCAUGGUACCAGCGGAAAUCAAAAGUAGCCUGGUCUCCAGAGCAAGUUUCAGGACAGUCAGGGCUGUUACACAGAGAAACCCUGUCUCAAAAAACAAACAAACAAAAAACAACACAAAGUCCUUUAAAAAAGAAAAGAGACACUAGAAGGAGGAUCACCACAAACCCAGUCCUCCUGGAUCAGCCUUCUGAAUGCCUGGAUUACAGGUGUGCACCACCACUCACGACGAGUUUUCCUUUGAGAGGUGCAAGUGUUGGACGUGACUCCAUUUGUUUCUGCCAGCAUUGGAGAAUGGGAAUAGACUUCUCAAGCCCACGUCCAUACAGAUGUGCCUUCCUCCAGAUUCCUCGGGUCUCUCUAAUCUUUCCUGUCAUGCUCUUCAUGUUUACAUGACUUGUAGACAGCUUCUCUGCUUUAAAAAAAAAACUUACUUUAUGAAGACAUCUUAUUUAUCCUUUGUGCUCUUGCGUCCAUGUUUUCUUGGUUUUUAAAUGAAAGUACAAAGCAGGCAUUUAAAAAACAUUUCUUUGCUAGAAAAU